GCGAGCGCCGUGGGAAACGUCGCCCCUUAACUCUGAAGUUCCGCGAGUUUCUCUUUGGUUGCGGGAGGAUGAUCAACGCCGCCAAGUGGGGAAAGCAUGAACACAGUCCCCCACUACCAACACUUAUGCAGUCAAGUUUUCCACCUUUGGGGACAUCUCAGGGGUCAGCACAUCCGGAGUCAGUCGAUGAGUCUCACCCUGGGAAAAACCGCCUUCGUGAUCAUGGUAUCUUCCCUGCCAGGAGUUGAUGCACAGGGGGAAAGCGAAGUUCCCAGGAGUAAGAUGUACAAGAAGGAGGCCACCCUUGCAUUUCAGGGCUGAGUUCCCUAAACUGUGUGCUUGAAGGAAGUUCUCCCCUUGCAGACACACUGCUGAGUGAUAAGGAAGCACCUAGACUCCACUAUGACCAGACUGGGUUCUGAGGCCUAUGAAAUGUUGAUGGGAAGAACAGAAGCAGGAAAAUCUAUCUAUUCAAAUUUGCAAGAGGUGGAAACUUUUAUUCACCUUCCUGGAUAGACUGUCCUGUUGUCAAAGUAAAGCUAAGGCCGUGGAAAAUGAGCUAUUUGAGAGUCUGUCGCUCCAAGGAAGAACAUGCUGGCCUAAUUGUCCCCUCAGUCAGGGUAGAGAAUUGUAAAAAAAACACUUAAACGGGCCUAAGUAAAGGUCCAGCACAUUAUUUAUUUAAGACUGAAUUAGGACUGAGUCAUUCCAACUCCGAAAAAAGAAUGUUGUUGGAUUCUUACAUAUUUGAUGGACUGUCCCAUUGAAAACCAUUGUGAAGUCUGGUUUCCCAAGCACGAAAUGACAAUUUCACUGUCUUUCUAGGAAUCUGGCAGAAUCCAGGACCGGGAUUAGCCUUAUUUUUUAAGCGACCUUAGACUAACAGUGGCUCUCUGGGCCUCCAGACAAUUGGCCAGGGACUCUGAAAGCCAGAAACAAAGUUGAGAGAACUCCAGGCUGGUGGAGAAAAACAGCUGGCCUUCAUCACCAGAACGUGCCCCAUAGAAGCAAGAAAGCAGCAAGCGAGGUUCUUAAACGAGGGCCUGCGGGCCUCAUCAAGAUCUGGAGGAGUCAUCUGCAACUUACUGCUGAGUGAGAAGGCUAGGCAGUGUCUUUAAGGUCCUGCCAGCUUUAACAUUGUAUGCUUUCUUUUUCUUUUGUCCAAUCUCUCACCACAACUGGAAGUGUUGCCUCAACUACACAGGAGAAAGUUUGCAGUAACUUAGAGAAAACAUUAUUUUAAUCACCAGCGUAUGUUCUCUCGCUCCCUGGACAAAUCCAUCAGCAGUGGCAACACUGACCAGGUCCAGAUUGGGGCCGCUGCAGUGGAUGUGGAUCCAUUGAAACCAGGGGUCUCCAGUGCUCCUGACU